rnacentral:rRNA from 1 species
AUUGAACGCUGGCGGCGUGCCUUACACAUGCAAGUCGAACGGCAGCACGGGUGCUUGCACCUGGUGGCGAGUGGCGAACGGGUGAGUAAUACAUCGGAACGUACCUUAUCGUGGGGGAUAACGCAGCGAAAGCUGUGCUAAUACCGCAUACGCCCUGAGGGGGAAAGCGGGGGAUCGAAAGACCUCGCGCGAUUAGAGCGGCCGAUGCCUGAUUAGCUUGUUGGUGGGGUAAAAGCCCACCAAGGCGACGAUCAGUAGCUGGUCUGAGAGAACGAUCAGCCACACUGGGACUGAGACACGGCCCAGACUCCUACGGGAGGCAGCAGUGGGGAAUUUUGGACAAUGGGGGCAACCCUGAUCCAGCAAUGCCGCGUGAGUGAAGAAGGCCUUCGGGUUGUAAAGCUCUUUUGUCAGGGAAGAAACACCGGCUCUAACACAGUCCGGGAAUGACGGUACCUGAAGAAUAAGCACCGGCUAACUACGUGCCAGCCGCCGCAGUAA